CUGUGUUGGUGAAUAGUGCAUC
rnacentral:piRNA from 1 species